AAAGGGCGAGGACAUUGUUAGAAACACUGUAUCCCGUGUCCUGAAAAGCAGAAGGAUGCUAGUGCAAGACCAGGGUCCCAAGCAAGGCUUUCUCCAGGAGCUACUUUCCUCCACCUGUUCACAUGCCCAUGCUGUCCACAGAAUUCAUGAGGAGAAGCAUCCUUCUGGAAGACCAUCUGGGAUUGGACAACUCUGCUGAUGGGAUCAGCUUCCUCCACCCCAGCUUGGCCUGCAGAAGAACCUUCGACAUGGCUCUCAGGAUGAAGGUGCCAAGUCUGGGUUCCCAGGCAUCUCUGAAGCCUCCAUCCUCCCUGGAAGCACGGCGCAGGGCUCUGCCUCCCCUGGACUGUCUAAACCUGUCUCCUCUUCUAAACACCUUCAUCUUGUUCCCUCGCAGCCCCUAUUCUUCUUGGCUAUGCAAUCCUCAUUCCCCUAGAUGUUGCAAAU
rnacentral:lncRNA from 12 species